rnacentral:tRNA from 1 species
AGGCAUAGCUCAAUGGUAGAGCACACACUUAGCAUGCAUGAGGUCCUGGGUUCAAUUCCCAGUACCU